AGGAGAUUCAAUGUGCAGUUCUGAGAAGGGAUUCAGUGUGCCGUUGCUGGCUCUGAGAAGUAGGAGCCUUGUGCAAGGAUUCAGGAGAGGCCUCUAGAAACUGAGGAUGGCCCUCAACUGGCAAGCACAGGCAACUGAAUUCGGCCAGGCAUCUGGGUCCUGUGCUAGGGGCUAGGAAGACAAAGAGAAACAGAGUCACAUCCUCCCACAAAAAUCCAUGAGAUGUCGGAGAGCCGAACUUGUAAACAGCCAUCAUCAACACAAAGAAGGAUGCACUGAUGCUCUCUAGAGGCUCACAGGAAAUGAUUCAUGGGCAUAGAGAUGUGGAACCUACGGACAUGGAGGGCCAACUUCACAUAUAAUGAAAUAUUAUUUGGCCGUAAAAAGGAAGGAAAUCCUGCCAUUUAUGACAACAUGGAUGGACCUGGAGGACAUUAUGCUAAGUGAAAUAAGCUAGACACAGGAAGCCAAAUACUGCCUCAUCUCACUUCUGUAUAAAACCUAAACUAGUUAAACACAUAGAAGCAGAGAAUAGAAUGGUAGUUGCCAGGAGCUGGAGGGAAGGGGAAAUGGGGAAGUAUUGGCCAAAGAGUUCAAUUUGUGUAAAGUUUCAGUGUGCAAAAUAAGUAAAUUCUGGAAACCUCCUGUGCGAUAUAGGGCAUAUGAUUAACACCACUAUAUUGUGUUUUAAAAAAUUUGCUAAGAAGGUAGAUUAAGAAAAACAAAGAAAACCAAAAAACCCAAAGGCAGCAGAAGGACACUUUUGGAGAUAAUGGAAAAGUUUAUGGCAUUAAUAUUGGUAGUGAUGAUGGUUACAUGGGUGUAUGCUUAUCUCCAAACACAUCGAGUUGUAUACAUUAAAUAUCUAUAGCUUCUUGUAUGUCAAUUAUAUCUCAAUAAAGCGGUUUAA
rnacentral:lncRNA from 10 species